rnacentral:rRNA from 1 species
ACGUAGGGGGCAAGCGUUGUCCGGAUUUACUGGGCGUAAAGAGCGCGUAGGCGGAAGCUUAAGUGUGGCCUGAAAGCCCCCGGCUCAACCGGGGAGGGUGGCUGCAAACUGGGCUUCUUGAGGUUGAUAGAGGAGAGCGGAAUUCCUGGUGUAGCGGUGAAAUGCGUAGAUAUCAGGAGGAACACCGGUGGCGAAGGCGGCUCUCUGGGUCGGACCUGACGCUGAGGCGCGAAAGCGUGGGGAGCGAACGGGA